AAUAGUGUGUGUGUGUGUGUGUACGCGCGCGUGUGUGUAUACUGUAUGUAUACACACACACACACACACACACACAUG
rnacentral:miRNA from 11 species